GACGUAGGGCGCGAGCGUUGUCCGGAUUUAUUGGGCGUAAAGAGCUCGUAGGCGGUUUGUCGCGUCGUCCGUGAAAACUCACAGCUUAACUGUGAGCUUGCGGUCGAUACGGGCAGGCUAGAGUUCGGUAGGGGAGACUGGAAUUCCUGGUGUAGCGGUGAAAUGCGCAGAUAUCGGGAGGAACACCGGUGGCGAAGGCGGGUCUCUGGGCCGAUACUGACGCUGAGGAGCGAAAGCGUGGGGAGCGAACAGG
rnacentral:rRNA from 1 species